rnacentral:rRNA from 1 species
UACGGAGGGUGCAAACGUUGCUCGGAAUCAUUGGGCGUAAAGCGCACGUAGGCGGACUGUUAAGUCGGAUGUGAAAUCCCUCAGCUUAACUGAGGAAGUGCACUCGAAACUGGCAGUCUUGAGUAUGGAAGAGGGUCGCGGAAUUCCCGGUGUAGAGGUGAAAUUCGUAGAUAUCGGGAGGAACACCGGUGGCGAAGGCGGCAUCCUGGACCGGUAUUGACGCUGAGGCGCGAAAGCUAGGGGAGCAAACGGG